GACGAACGCUGGCGGCGUGCUUAACACAUGCAAGUCGAACGGAAAGGCCCUGCUUUUGUGGGUCGCUCGAGUGCCGAACGGGUGAGUAACACAUGAGUAUCCUCCCCUUGACUUUGUGAUAACUUCACGAAACUCCGGCUAUUACCCGAUAUGAUCUCUUGCUCCAUGUUGGGGGUUGGAAAGUUUCGGCUGUUGUGGAUGGACUCGCUGCUUAUGCGCUUGUUGGUCGGGUAGUGGCUUACCAAGGGUUUGACGGGUAGCCGGCAUGGGAGGGUGACCGGCAACAAUGGGACUGAGAGACGGCCCAGAAUCCAACGGGAUGCAGCAGUGGAGAGUAUUGCACAAUAGGCGGAAGACAGAUGCAGCAAUGUCGGGUGCGGGAUGACGGCUUUCGGGGUGUAAACCGAUGUGGCCGGUAACGAAGAGUGAGUGACGGUAAUGGAUAAAGAAGCACCGGCUAACUACGUG
rnacentral:rRNA from 1 species